rnacentral:rRNA from 1 species
UACGUAGGGGGCUAGCGUUGUCCGGAAUCAUUGGGCGUAAAGCGCGCGUAGGCGGUCAGGUAAGUCCGGUGUGAAAGUCAAAGGCUCAACCUUUGAAUGCCGCUGGAAACUGCCUGACUUGAGUCCGGAAGAGGUGAGUGGAAUUCCUAGUGUAGAGGUGAAAUUCGUAGAUAUUAGGAAGAACACCAGUGGCGAAGGCGGCUCACUGGUCCGGUACUGACGCUGAGGUGCGAAAGCGUGGGGAGCAAACAGG